UUAUUUUUGACAAAAGUAUUUUUAGCUUUUUUUUUUAGAUUGCAGCAGCUCCAUUAAAAUUGGAAAAAAUUAACUCAAGAACAUCAAAAAAAUUCGAAAAUCUCAACAAUGUAGUCUUCUUUAAAUUUAAAUGAAUUAACAUACUGACUAAAUUAAAGUCAUUAUGUUGCUUAAAUAUUAAGUUUUUAAUAUUUAAGCAAACUUUUUGCAGGUAGUAGAUGAAAAUUAUUAGAAUAGAUGAGAAUUAUUCUUCACCACAAAUCCCUAACAAGAUCAUGAUUGAGAAAAGAACAAUCCUCUGCUCAAUUAACAACUGUUAGUACCAAGAUAGAAGCAAUACAGUAUUCUGAAAAAAAUCGGCAUAAUUAAAAGACUUCCACAAACAUCAAAACACAGGAAUUUUUUGCCAAAUCAAUUAAUAAGAGGCAAGAUAAAACAUGGCCACACUAGAAACCUUGUGGUACCUCUUAUGGCACACAUAUUACAUCAGGUAAUGAACCUGCAAGAUUAACCACUUAAGUUUUCCCUCCAACAAACCAGAUAUCCACUGAAGAAGAAAAUCUGCAAUUUAAAAAAUUCAGCUUCCCUUAGAGGACCUCAUUUAAAACAUUUAUUCACGUCAGAAUCACAAAAAUAUUUAAUUAUAAAAAAUAAAUUGCCCAAUAUCCAAAAACAAAAUCUGAGAAAUAAAAAAAAUUAUAUGAA